CGUUCAAAGAAAUCAUUUUGAAUAAAAUCUGCUCCAUGAAUUUAAAUAGCCGCAGAAUUUUUACUGUGCUAAGGUAGCAUAAUCACUUGUUCCUUAAUUAGAAACUUGAAUGAAAGAUUCCUCAUUUAAUCUCUUUCUUAAAAUUAAAGAUAAAAAUUAUAUUAAAUAUAAAAUAUAUUUAUAAAAAAAAUAGACGACAAGACCCUAUCGAACUUAACUCAUGUUUAGCUGGGGAAGCUAAUUAAACAUAAUUUUAAUUUUUACAUUAAAAAAUUAACCCAAUAAAAUUGAAAUAAACAAGUUACCGUAGGGAUAACAGCGUAAUUUAUUUUUAAAGCUCUAUACAAAAAUAAGAUUACGACCUCGAUGUUGAAUUAUAUCUCCCCCAGCGCAAUAGCUAAAGAGGAAAGUCUGUUCGACUUUUAAAUUUUUACA
rnacentral:rRNA from 1 species